GACGAACGCUGGCGGCGUGCUUAACACAUGCAAGUCGAACGGAAAGGCCCUGCUUUUGUGGGGUGCUCGAGUGGCGAACGGGUGAGUAACACGUGAGUAACCUGCCCUUGACUUUGGGAUAACUUCAGGAAACUGGGGCUAAUACCGGAUAGGAGCUCCUGCUGCAUGGUGGGGGUUGGAAAGUUUCGGCGGUUGGGGAUGGACUCGCGGCUUAUCAGCUUGUCGGUGGGGUAGUGGCUUACCAAGGCUUUGACGGGUAGCCGGCCUGAGAGGGUGACCGGCCACAUUGGGACUGAGAUACGGCCCAGACUCCUACGGGAGGCAGCAGUGGGGAAUAUUGCACAAUGGGCGGAAGCCUGAUGCAGCAACGCCGCGUGCGGGAUGACGGCCUUCGGGUUGUAAACCGCUUUCGCCUGUGACGAAGCGUGAGUGGCGGUAAUGGGUAAAGAAGCACCGGCUAACUACGUG
rnacentral:rRNA from 1 species